GUGGGGAUACGUCGGAACGGACGCUAAUACCGCANACGUCCUACGGGAGAAAGCAGGGGACCUUCGGGCCCUUGCGCUAUCAGAUGAGCCUAGGUCGGAUUAGCUAGUUGGUGAGGUAAUGGCUCACCAAGGCGACGAUCCGUAACUGGUCUGAGAGGAUGAUCAGUCACACUGGAACUGAGACACGGUCCAGACUCCCUACGGGAGGCAGCAGUGGGGAAUAUUGGACAAUGGGCGAAAGCCUGAUCCAGCCAUGCCGCGUGUGUGAAAGAAGGUCUUCGGAUUGUAAAGCACUUUAAGUUGGGAGGAAAGGGGCAUUAACCUAAUACGUUAGUGUUUUGACGUUACCGACAGAAUAAGCACCGGCUAACUCUGUGCCAGCAGCCGCGGUAAUACAGAGGGUGCAAGCGUUAAUCGGAAUUACUGGGCGUAAAGCGCGCGUAGGUGGUUUGUUAAGUUGGAUGUGAAAUCCCCGGGCUCAACCUGGGAACUGCAUUCAAAACUGACUGACUAGAGUGUGGUAGAGGGUGGUGGAAUUUCCUGUGUAGCGGUGAAAUGCGUAGAUAUAGGAAGGAACACCAGUGGCGAAGGCGACCACCUGGACCAACACUGACACUGAGGUGCGAAAGCGUGGGGAGCAAACAGGAUUAGAUACCCUGGUAGUCCACGCCGUAAACGAUGUCAACUAGCCGUUGGAAGCCUUGAGCUUUUAGUGGCGCAGCUAACG
rnacentral:rRNA from 1 species